AAUAGCUGGCGGCGCCAUAGACUGCAGUCGAACGGAAGUCGUUAUAAAAGGAGAGAAGAUUUGUCGGAUUGAAUUUUAUACAAUGGCUUUAGUGGCGGACUGGUGAGUAACGCGUAAGGAACCUACCUAUUAGAGGGGAACAACAAUGAGAAAUCAUUGCUAAUACCGCAUAUGCCAUAACUACCGCAUGGUAGAAGUGGGAAAGGAGUAAUCCGCUGAUAGAUGGCCUUGCGUCUGAUUAGUUAGUUGGUGGGGUAACGGCCUACCAAGACGACGAUCAGUAGCCGGACUGAGAGGUUGAACGGCCACAUUGGGACUGAGAUACGGCCCAGACUCCUACGGGAGGCAGCAGUCGGGAAUAUUGCGCAAUGGAGGAAACUCUGACGCAGUGACGCCGCGUGCAGGAAGAAGGUUUUCGGAUUGUAAACUGCUUUAGACAGGGAAGAGAAAGGACAGUACCUGUAGAAUAAGCUCCGGCUAACUUCGUGCCGGCAGCCGCGGUAAGACGAAGGAUGCAAGCGUUAUCCGGAUUCAUAGGGUUUAAAGGGUUCGCAGGCGGCGUAUUAAGUCAGC
rnacentral:rRNA from 1 species